UACGAAGGGGGCUAGCGUUGUUCGGAAUUACUGGGCGUAAAGGGUGCGCAGGCGGUUAUAUAAGACAGAUGUGAAAUCCCCGGGCUCAACCUGGGAACUGCGUUUGUGACUGUAUGACUAGAGUACGGUAGAGAGGGGUGGAAUUCCUGGUGUAGCAGUGAAAUGCGUAGAUAUCAGGAGGAACAUCGAUGGCGAAGGCAGCCCCUUGGACCUGUACUGACGCUCAUGCACGAAAGCGUGGGGAGCAAACAGG
rnacentral:rRNA from 1 species